AAUUCUAAUUUUAGAAGUCAAGUUAUGAUCUGAGAGAUAACUUAAAAAUGGAAAGUUAUUUAGGAACAAAAUAAAAGGCAAAAAACCAAACCUCAUACAAACUUAAAUGUUUGACAUUUAAAACUAAAGAGAUUUUUUUUUACGUGGAUUUGAAAUAAAUAAGCCAACCUCGGUACAUAACCGCUGAAAACUAAAAAACCGUACCCUAAACCAACACAGGUAGAUAGGUCGAGUAGACCAAGGUGUAUGAGAUAAUUAUGUUGAAGGAACUCGGCAAAAUGACUCUGUAACUUCGGGAGAAAGAGUACCUUUUUAUUUAAGUAUUUAUCGAUG
rnacentral:rRNA from 1 species